UCCUCUAAAGCCUUUGGAAGCCGCCGUGA
rnacentral:piRNA from 1 species